AGAGCUUUUCAGCCCUUUGGGGAAGCUCAGAUGUAGUGUGUGUUCUUACCAGUUUCUUAUCUGAUGGGUGGCUGCAAGGAUCUGCUGUUAAAUAGCAUUGUGGAGACAGGAGGUGCCUUGGGAGCUUGCUGCAGCCGCUUCACACGUGGCCUUGGUAUCACAAUACCUCCCCGUGUGCCGUUAGCCCU
ensembl:snRNA U2 U2 spliceosomal RNA